AGCACCGUUAGAUUAGCCCGGCUAAAUAAGAUCUAAUGGUUAUAAUUAAUUAAUCCCCAGUCAGAUGUGUAAUUAGCAAUUUAAGUACGACUGAACGCACUUCACCGCGGAGGAAUAUUCCACCCGCUGCGUCCCGCUGAUCCAACUAAUCGCGCUAAUCCCUCCGUCAAUUUCUCCCUUGCCAAAAUUCCCUAUCCCUGCGCCCACCGGAGGCACGCACACUCAUGCCGUCCAAUGGAGUUAUUGCCAACCGCUCCUCCGCUCCGCUUGCCCUCCAUGGCCGCGCAACGCCAUCUUGACUUCCGUUCAGGAGCUCACCAGAAGCACCUCGCCGGUUCUCGAGAUCUUUGAAUGGAGCCGAAACAACAUGCACCGACAGCCUCUAGGCAUAACCAGCAGCACGCGGCUGCCGCCCCGCAGCUGGCAACCAAUGGUGCCGCAGUACCGGCUGGGAAGCUGAAGGCCGUCGCUGCCGCCACCGGCCGCCUCGGUGCGGGAGGAAACUAGCGGGUGCUCGGGGUCAUCAGCAACGUCGCCCACGCCCACUUCCACAUCGGCAACGUCGUUCACCAGGACAGUCUGAAAAUUAGCACAAGGGAGCUUCGGCGCUCAACUCUUGAAUAAGGCCCAGGCCGAUCCAUGCAAGGCACGGACGCGACCCCCCUUUCUUCUUGCAUGACUUCUUAAGAAAUUUCUUGAUGGAUUGUAAUUCGCUCUGGUGGUUUGCAGUGCGGGCCACCUGAAGCCAGUGAACAAUAAGGUCCCUGUCAAGGCCGCUACCCCUCGCUGCUACUCGAUGGUCGACCGGCACCGGCUGCACUCUGAUGCUGGGGAUGGUGAAGCAAUGCAAUUUUUCCUAUUCUUUCUUACACAAAUGAAGCAAUGCAGCUGGCAUCAACAUCUGCUACUCGCUGGCCUCUCCUGGAGCGUAGGAGGCCAUUGCCGUCCACCGCUUCGACGCUCGGCUGCUGCCCCACGGACGCAUUUGAUACACCCCUACAGCCGAUGCUCCUGCACUUGGCUCUUGCCCUCCGCUGCAUAAUUUUGACACCCCAUCGAUGCUGGCACCACUACAGGGCUUCGCUGGGAUAGUACAGCCUAGCCUCUCCGGUAGGUGCAAUGGCAAUAAAGCUUAUGAGUUCAUUUUUAACAUGUACGUGAGGGGUUGACACGCAAGUGGGAAGCAGGUAUGGCAAUUCCAUUUGCUCUGGUUAAACAGGUAUGUUCCUUGCUUAUAAAUAAAGCCUUACAUGAUUUGUUCCUUUACUGAUUACUGAUGGACUGACGAGGUCAGAGAUAUGUAACAGCCAUCUUGAUCCAAAAUGACAAGUAUGACAGUGCUAAGCUGCGUACCUAGAAUUUUACCACAGCCUAAGACUUGCAAAUCUCUACAAUAAAUACAAAUGGCUAGCUGUUUUGUGGUCUACAACCGUGACAUGUAGCAGCGUCUCUCAUCAUGUCUGCACAGAGUGUUCAGGUAUGAUUCUUGCUAGGGUAAAUGAGUCGUCGAUUUGCUAAUUAAAUUUGUUUCCUAUUCUAUGCAUAGAUGCAGUUGCGACAAUUAACUAAAGCAACUAUUUUUUUUCUUUUGUAGUUAUAUAUACUUAUGCAUAGAUGCAGUUGUGACAAUUAAUUGGCUUUGGUCUUCCUAAAUUUCUGUAGCUUUUUUCCUUUCCCAAUUAGGUUUGUGAAACAAUGAUUAUUCUAGCAUGUGAUUUGGCCAUUCUAGAACACUAGACGUUUCUCCACAGCGUGGAUAUUGAGAUGACAAGUUUAAUUCUUGUUUAAUCUGCGCAGAACUAAUUUUGCAUACCAUGUAUUUCAUACACAAAUGUUAAAUUCCCUUCAUUUUUGUUCAUGAAUGUCGCAACUCAGAAUGGGGGCAAAAUGAUCGUGACUGCCGGCGGACCCAAGAGCGAACGAGUUCAAUUUCUCACUGUGACUCCCACGGGAGUUGUAAUUGAGUCCAACAAUUCAAUUUCUGGAGUUGUAGUUGAGUCCAGCAACUCGAUUUUUGAAAAGAUAAGAUGUAGGUCGAACCCAAGAGCGAACGAAUUAAACUUGACCAUGAGAGACAUCUUGCAUUUGGGUACCCGAACCAGCUACCCGAACCGAACCGUAUUAACCUAAUUGUCGGUUAUUUCGGUUAUCAGGUAAGGGUUCGGUUUUUGUUUUCCAUCAGUUUGGCCUUCAGGUUAGGGUUCGAUUUUCGCUUCUAGAAACCUGGAAUAACGAAAUUGACCGAUAUUUACGAAACUUAAGCAGGCUAGCAAAAAAGCAGGCCCAAGUCGCACCGAGACAAUGGCUCGCAGCCUCGCACAGCACAGUCGCGCACUGCAAUCUUCGUUCCCCAAUUCAUCUCGCCCGUAACCCUAGAGGCGGCGGCGGCCAGCGGCACCUAGACGACUACACUACUGCAUCUGCUUGUCCGCUCGCGCGUCUUGACGUCGGAUGCCUCAGGGAGACGACACCGUCGACGCGUGACCACGCGGCUAGCGACGCCGAAUGACACAAAGAAACGUCUUUGGUCGCUGGAGGCACGCGCGCAACGAUGCCGGUUGCUGGAUACGAAGGUGAAAAGAUGAGCCGACAGCUAUACAAGGUUCUUGCAGCGUAUUGAGUAUUGACAGUUCCCUGUAUGUAUUGCUGCGUGUAUGCACAUCUGAAUUUGAAAACUUGUGUGCUCUCUAUAUGCACUGCUGAAUCGCAAACGUGCU